rnacentral:sRNA from 19 species
CUAUUGAUAAAUACUAAAUCACACACAUAUCGACACGUUCUUCGGGGUGCCCUAAAUAGGGUCGAAGAUAUGGGAUAUGUGGAGGUCUAAC